UUAACCCUUACACGUAGUUGGACACUUGGACACCUCGCCGCCGCUCCACUUCAAAAAGGUCCACCUUAGAGAGAUGGAUAGACAGAGUAGCAGCUAUAGCACGGUAGAGACAGAGAGAGAGGAGCGGCGGAAAUGGAGAAACCGGCCAUCGUCUCCCGUAGGCCACCCUCUUGGCCUUCAGUCAGACGGUGGUGGGUUGUGGUGGUUAAGUUUGUAUAGAAAAAGAGAAGCUGAGGAAUCAAAAGGUACGGUGGUUGGCGCCGGCGGCAUCCGUGGGCGGAGGCCGUCCUGUACUCACCACCUCUCAUUUAAGACAGAUAGAGAAACCAGAGGUCACACCACACCGACGCAAUCUACGGCAUCGACGGUGGUAUUGGGUUCUCGAGUCACCGCACCAACUGUCAACAGUCGGGUUCCAAGUUGUGGAUAAUUUUGGGUAUUGUUUGGAUUUCUAUAGGAAUCAAUUCAUACAUAAUGAAUUCCUGAGAAUUAAGCAGUUUUGGAAUGCAAGGAGAAGGAUGUUCAUGAGUAAUUAAUUAGCAUGUAUUUGGGAUUGUGAUGUUAUUCUCUAAAGAUGAUUAUUAAUGUGUGGGCUGUUGGUAUUCGCUGUGAUUUGAGCAAUGGCUUAUUUGGGCUGUGAAGCCACAUUGCUAAAAUUCCACUGCUUCCCGUGCCAUAAUCUUUUGCAGUGGACAGAAAAACGGGAGAAAGAGAGAGAGUGGCGGUGAUGGAGGAACUGGCCAUGGUCUCCGGCCAGCUGCCCUCUUGUCCUUUUUGGGGGUUUCAACCUCCAUUCGACCACUGGAGUUUUAGCGAGUGUGUUUUAGGUGACGACGUCUAGGGUUCUAGCGAGUUUUUGGCCUGUCACCUACCCGGUGAUGAUGGUGAGUUGCUAUUUGGUAUGGCAACUUUGGUUGUAACCAUUGCACCACUGAGCCGACUUCUCUUGACAACGAUGAGGCAUGUGACAUUUUUUCUCUUUUACAGCGACGAUGACGGUCUUUUCGGAUCUGAUUCUAUUGGUGUUGGUGAUUUCGUUUUUGGUCACCGAAGUUCAAGGCAAAAUAUUGUUCCAGUUUCAGUUUUAGACUCAUAAGCUGUAAAAAACUCACGAAGGCUGUGAUGACUAGUAGGCGCCAUUGCUUGGUUGGCAUAAUCAAGGACGCUUCUUAAUUGGAAGUUACUAUUCAUGUUAUCAACUCAAAAGAGGACAAAAACAAGGUCAAGAACAUGUAUAUGAAGUGAUCAAGAUUUUGAUGGGUUGUUGGAAUAGAUGGGGAUAUAUUGGCAGCUCUGUUCUUCAGGAUUUAGUUAUGUAGGGGCUUGGGUUAAUUUCAAUAUUUCAGUAUGCCACAUUGGACCCUCUGAGCUUGAUGAUGAAUCAACUGUAGAUUUCGGAGUUUGGUUCUGCAAUGGAUGAUUUCAGAACUGAUUUGGCUAUUAGCAAGCAAAUAAUAAUACUCUCCUCCUCUUUGAAGGGUUUCUUGAUGGUGUUCUUCAGCUUUUGCCACAUUUCGUUUAGCCCACAAAGCGCAAGUGCAGCCAUUUUCGAAGUCAUAGCUUAUGGGCCAAAAGGAGAUGGAUAUACAGACGACACUGUUGCUUUCUUUUGAGCAUGGGUUGGUUUUUGUAACAACAGCCCGCGCGCAACCCCGACGAUGGUCAUGCCGCCAAGGAAGUUGUUUCAAAUAGGCCCUGUUACAUUCAGUGGUCCGUGCAAAUCCCCUGCAGUGAAUGUUCAGGUAAAUUGAGUCUAUAAUUGAAAUCAUUAACGUGAUUCUAUUUUCUUUUUCUACAGAUUGUUGUUUUGGAAAAGAAUGUAUAUAAACAAGUUUAUUCUUAAUGGUUCAAACAUUUUUAUAAUAUCAGUUUCCUCUCAUCAAACACCAAUUCUACUUUCAUGGAGCUAUAUUUAUUAUUUUUCCCUUUUUUGUUUAUCGAAGCUUCAUGUUAUUUUAUUAUCAUAACUUUUUAAACAUAACUAGAUUGUUAUUAAAUAUGAUGUACCAAAACACAACUUAUACAUUUUCCAUUUAUAUUUCAGGAAAAACCCUCAUUGAUUUAUUUUGAUUGACUUAUAUAAAAUAUAUAAUUCAUAUUUAUAUAUUAUAUAUUUUCUUAUUUUACAUUGUGCUCUUUUCCUUAAAACGAUUUAAGAGUAACUUUUAUGUUUGUACUUUUAUUGGUUCAAAUUAUUGUAUAUCUCUCUACGCCAUAUACAUUUCCCAUUAAAAAUUAACAUAUAUUCUUACACAGACAUAAAAUCGAAUUACAUUUUAUUGAGGCUAACACUUUUUCCGCUACACUUUGUAACAUAACAGGUCCAAUGAUAUCUAAAAGAAUUUCAAAGCUGAAACAAAGAGACUUCAUAUUUAUCUGUAAUAAUACGAGUUAUAAAAAGUGGGUCCCUGACCGGACGAGUGAGUUAUGCUUGUCGUCCGUGGACCAGAAUGUAAUGCUCAACUAAUUAAACAUUUAAACCCACCUGAGCCUAUUUUGAUCAUAACCCCAUUUCAUCCAAUUCCAAACCAUACUGAACAUGAAUUUUAGGCGGCCCAUUUCGACCCGUUACCCAAACUGAUCCACUCAGGGCUUUGAGCACAUUCAUGUCGGUACCCAUUCAGGAUGUAAUUUGUGUAUAAAAUGUUUGUAACAGUUUGUUUUUGCACGCCGCAACGCGCGUGAGGUUAAAUCCCUAGUUACUAUUAAUAAUACAACAAAAUGAACAGUAAUUUAAUUAUAUUAUAAUAUUUAUAUUACAAUAAUAAUUAUUAUUAUUUUCUUUACUUUCUCAGUUAGAUAAGCUUGGUGUCAACCAAUACUGGUAUCGAAAAUACAGGUACGAUCCGGUUCAUUAUCGGUACACAUGAAAGUAAAAAUCAGCACCAGCCUGAUAAGAAAACGCCAAAAGUCGGUACCGGAUUGAGUUUGAAAAUCUUUUAGUUCGGAAAUUUGGUACUGCUACACGGUACCAUUUGUUCAUCCCUGAUCACGGGUGUCAUACAAACAACAACGUUUCAGGGGUAGGGAUGAGCACGGUGGCAACCGAUACCGAAAAAACCUGUUACGGUACCGGCAUAUGAAGAUAAAAAUCAGUAGCGAACCGGUACUAGGAACGCCAAAAGUCGGUACCGAAUUGGUACUUAGGAUCCUUCGCUUUGGGAAAUUCGGUACCGGUGCCCAGUAUUAUUUGCUCAUUUCUGACCACGAGUUUCAUACGAACAACAUCAUUAACAUACAACUUUUUGAGUUGAUUUUCUUUCGAUUAUUUUUUACUGUUUUUUACAUUUCCUUUUUAUUCUUGUUAGUGGUUCCGCGUACAACGCGCUCGUAGUGAUUUCAAAACACAUGUAAACACAAACUAAAUAACAAAAAAUUUUGCCGCAACGCAGCUAUGGUGAUAAACCUAGUUUGAUUCAAAA